CUCGAUUCCUCUCCCUCUCCCUCGUCUUCCGCCGCCGCCACCACCGGCGACCUCCUCACAGCCGCUGCAACCACCCACGCCCUCCCCCACGUUUGACGCUGCCACCCCUUCUCUCACCUUCUCCUCACCAUCCACGACCCCCUCCCCUCGCCCUCGCCCCAAAUCGAGCAGCAGGCCCGGACGGACGCAUGCUCAGAUCCGGCAUGCCCACAACCUUGGUUCCGCUUCAGGACGCCAUGGACAUCCAGCCAUGGAUAAGGUGCCCUCCCCUUCUCUUCUGUGUGUGUGCGCAUGCACGCGUUUAUGUUGGAUUCGAUUUGGAGUUGAUGCUCGGUUUUUGAAGCUCCUUCUCUUCCUUGUCGCACGAGAACAUCUCUCUAUCUCUCUUUGCCGAAUCAAGUUGGUGCUGCUGCAACCUCACCCCCUCACCCCAACAAGUAGCCCCAACCCUAGCCCUUCCUUCCAUGACGACUAGGAGGUGUAGCACAGAUGUUAGCAAAGAAAGUUGAUACCUUAAUAACCAAUAAAAAGAUGAUGAUGCUAGAGGUUGCUGCCAUGGAGAAAGAAGUUACAGCUAUCCGUGUCGAUAAGGAUCAAGAAAUGAAAGACAUGCAGCUUGGUAAUUCAGAACGGUCUGGGAGUUCUCACUUCUCAACUGCUUCCUGAAGGUCCAUCUUCACACGGGAUGAAAUCUUGUUCUGUCUGACAUGAGCACAUGAGAAAAAAGUUCAGAGGAUGAACCUGUCAUACUCGUGGCGUACGUUGCUGGUGUACAUGCCGCUGCCGGCCAAGAAGAUCCAAGUUAACGGUCAAAAUGCAGUGGAUGAUGCAAGUCUUUUCUUAAUGGAUCAGGGGAAUGUAUUUUCUUUUCUCCUAAUAGGAUUAUUGCACUCACCAGUUGAGUACUCAGAUGGGAUUCUUCUAGGUUUGGUAGAAAAUGAUGCAAGACAAUGAGGAAGGCCCUGAUUGGCCGACGGACAUGUUGGCUGCUGCAGCUGGUGGUUCUUUGGGCGAGCAAGGGUAGCGCCGUCCUUCUCCUGCUCAAGACACUGCGUCAAUCUUGGUGGCACGCGCAACCACCGGCUGCACUACGACGAGCACGAAUUCUCGGUCGUUGAGACACCAGCAUUCAGCAAUGAGGAAGGCGGCUUGGUGGGGUCGGUGGAGGGUGUUGUCCAGUUGUGGUGGACGUGAAGGCGGACGAAUUCAUUGCAAAGUUCUACAUGUAGAUGAACUGCAACGACAAGUCCGGUGGCUGCAAUACAAUCACAUGAUGAAGAGGAGCAGUCAUAUGUAAUGCAUAAGCUAUACAUGCAUGUGUGUUAUCAAUCGGAGCUAAAAUCCAAUGAAAAAGGGCGGCACCCUACCUGGCACCGCACAAACUUUCACCCAGGAGGCGCCACCGGUGGCGCCCCAACCACUAGUAUAGCAUCUAUUGUGCUUCCUGGUGCUUCCCAUUCCAAACAAGACAUCUCCCAUCUCCAACUCCUCAUAGUUAGGAUUUCUCUGUACGUUUAUCUGAAU